UGGAGUUGCUCGUGCUAAGACUUUAAGGAAACACAUAGAUUCUAGAACAGACCACAGACCGGGUUUUGUUUUUCUCCUGCAAACCUCUAUAACAAACAUUCCUGACAGCAUAGGUAUCCACCCCUGAAGUUCCCAUUAAAUCUUUUAACCAAAUUCAUUUCCUCUCACCUAGAGACCAUCAAGCUUCAGAUGAUCAUGCUACAAAGGUUUCAGCUGGUUCCAGGUGAAGACACCACCCCUGGCCAUCAUGGAGCUACCCUGCCUCCACUAGACAGAGCAGGUAGAGACGGGGUUUCACCGUGUUCGCCAGGAUGGCCUCGAUCUCCUGACCUUGUGAUCCGCCCACCUUGGCCUCCCAAAGUGCUGGGAUUACAGGCCUCAGCCACCACGUCAGGCCCUUCUAGAGGAUAUUUAAACCCCAGAACAUUUUGUAACCGGGCCCUUGAGCCACUUGCUUGGGCCUGCUCCCACCCUGUAGAGU
rnacentral:lncRNA from 1 species